UAUGUUUCUUUGCUGGAAGCUCAGCUGUACAGUACACCUGUGCUGUUUUAUUUUUAUUCCAUUUAGCAUCACCAAGAUGAUCUUCUCUUUAAUUAUUCUACUGCUUUGUCCUGUCACCGCAUCUGGAGUAGGUCAAACAGACCAGCCACCUGACAACAUGACAGAGCCUGGAGAUGCUUCUGAUGAGUCUCAGACUACAACAGCACCACUGGAUGUCAUCACCACUGACACAACUACAACUACUACCAACACUUCAUUAUCUACUUGGGUCACCCAGAAAUCUACUGUACUGACAACAUCCAAAUCCACAAUCACCACUCUCAUCUCAACUGAAGCAGAACUUAUAGAGGAAAUAAACAGCACAACCUACAACAAAGCUCUAGAAGACAGAGUUGGACAAGAUAUUGCAGCAAAUCCAGGCCUCAUUGCAGUCCUUUGUAUUUUUUCCAUUGUGGUGGCUGUAGUUGUUGUGUUUGUAAUAGUGAAGGCUGUUCGCUCCAGGAGGCCACGGUUUUGAGAGGCUUGACGAUGUACCUUUGGGCAAGAUAAGUGAGGAUGCACCAUUUGCCCGCUACAAUCCAAAAUGAAUGACGGUUUCUGGCCAUCUCGGUGAACUGCAUAGUUUUGCCACUGAUGUGUUUUACUGAAAUGCACCUUUUUGAUCUGUAGACUAGAUCUGCAAUACCCAGUGUAAUUAAGAAAAGCUGUGAAAAUAUUGUUUUUUUUAUUAUUAUUAUUAUUAAAAUCCCAUAUCUCAAAACAAA